rnacentral:rRNA from 1 species
AACGAACGCUGGCGGCAGGCUUAACACAUGCAAGUCGAACGCCCCGCAAGGGGAGUGGCAGACGGGUGAGUAACGCGUGGGAACAUACCUCUCGGUACGGAAUAGCUCAGGGAAACUUGAAUUAAUACCGUAUACGCCGUAUUGGGAAAGAUUUAUCGCCGAGAGAUUGGCCCGCGUUAGAUUAGCUAGUUGGUGGGGUAAUGGCCUACCAAGGCUACGAUCUAUAGCUGAUCUGAGAGGAUGAUCAGCCACACUGGGACUGAGACACGGCCCAGACUCCUACGGGAGGCAGCAGUGGGGAAUCUUGGACAAUGGGCGCAAGCCUGAUCCAGCCAUGCCGCGUGAAUGACGAAGGCCUUAGGGUUGUAAAGUUCUUUCACCGGGGAAGAUAAUGACGGUACCCGGAGAAGAAGCCCCGGCUAACUUCGUGCCAGCAGCCGCCGCGG